rnacentral:rRNA from 1 species
GUCUCAGCCGCCGCGGUAAUACGGAGGGUGCAAGCGUUAAUCGGAAUUACUGGGCGUAAAGCGUGCGUAGGCGGUUUAUUAAGUCAGAUGUGAAAGCCCCGGGCUUAACCUGGGAACUGCAUUUGAAACUGGUCAACUAGAGUAUGGUAGAGGAAAGUGGAAUUUCUGGUGUAGCGGUGAAAUGCGUAGAUAUCAGAAGGAACAUCAAUGGCGAAGGCAGCUUUCUGGACCAAUACUGACGCUGAGGUACGAAAGCGUGGGUAGCAAACAGGAUUAGAUACCCUGGUAGUCCACGCCGUAAACGAUGAUAACUAGCCGUUGGGGGGAUUUACCCUUUAGUGGCGAAGCUAACGCGUUAAGUUAUCCGCCUGGGGAGUACGGCCGCAAGGCUAAAACUCAAAGGAAUUGACGGGGACCCGCACAAGCGGUGGAGCAUGUGGUUUAAUUCGAUGCAACGCGAAGAACCUUACCUGGUCUUGACAUCCUGCGAACUUUCUAGAAAUAGAUUGGUGCCUUCGGGAAACGCAGUGACAGGUGCUGCAUGGCUGUCGUCAGCUCGUGUCG